AACGAACGCUGGCGGCAUGCCUAACACAUGCAAGUCGAACGAGCCCUUCGGGACUAGUGGCGCACGGGUUCGUAACGCGUGGGAACCUUCCCAUAGGUUCGGCAUAACUCCACGAAAGGGGUGCUAAUACCGGACAAUGUCUACGAACCAAUGAUAUAUCGCCUUGGGAUGGGCCAACGUUAGAUACCUAGUUGGUAGGGCAAAAGCCUACCAAGGCGACGAUCCAUAGAUGGGCUGAGAGAAUGAUCAGCCACACUGGGACUGCGACACGGCCCAGACUCCUACGGGAGGCAGCAGUGGGGAAUAGUGGACAGUGGGCGAAGGCCUGAUCCAGCAAUGCCGCGUGAGUGAUGAAGGCCUUAGGGUUGUAAAGCUCUUUUACCCGGGAUGAUAAUGACAGUACCGGGAGAAUAAGCUCCGGCUAACUCCGUG
rnacentral:rRNA from 1 species